AGACAGAGGAAAGGUCUCGGCGUUGCAAAUGAGCGUGGGCCGGGUCACUGGCAUGGCUCAUCGAGAGCCCGCUGUAGGGGUUCAGCACCCAGUAGGCAGCCGCUACUGGUAAGGCCGCUGCUGGCCUCCCCCUGACGCAGUGGGGACAGCCACAUGCAGGCAUCCCAGGACAGUGGAGCAUGCGGUCAUCAUUCCUCGCAGACUUCCUGGCCCCGGGGGGCUCCAGCCCCGCAAACACCUGUGAAGUGGAGCAGAGCCGGGACCUGGAGAACCAGACACCAGCUAUCCAGAGACCAGAGCUAGGAAGGAGGAACACCAUGACAAGGACAAAGUGCAGGGCUUGAAGCCAGAAGCUAGGGCCCUUAGACUACCCGGGGUCCGAAGAUUCUUUAAUAGGAUGGACCAGUCCUUGGUCUCCUGGAGACACAAUCCUGGGAGUAAGAACAGUCACAAUCACCUCCUAAGAAAUGAAGAAUCUGAGGCUUGGAGUGGGUAGGUCUCUUGCACAAUGCCACGUGGCUAUCUGGUAAGAUAAAUGUAUUCAUAUGUGUUAUCGGUUGAAUUGCAUCCAUCCCCCCUAAAUUCAUGUGUCAAAAUCUUACCCUCUGGUAUCUUAGAAUGAGGCCUUAUUCAGAGAUGGGUCAUUGCAGAUGUCAUUAAUUAAGAUGAGGUCCUCCUGAAGUAGGGUGGGCCACUAAUCCAAUAUGACUGCUGUCCUUAUAAAAAGAGAAAACUGGGACACAGGCAUUGCAUGCAGGCGGAGCGUCACAGGAAGAUGAUGCAGAGAUUGGACGAUGCUUCCAUAAGCUAAGAAACAGCAAAGAUUGCCAGCAACCACCAGAAGCCAGGGGAGAGGCAUGGAACAGAUUUUUCUAACAAUCCUCAAAAAGAGCCAACCCCACCAACAUCUUUUUCAUGAAAUUCAAAACUGUAACAGAAUAAAUUUCUGUUGUUAAGCCAUUCAGUUGGUGGCAGUUUGUUCUAGCAGCCUGAGGAAACUAAUAGGACAUGAAAGCAUCUAUUACUCUUUUUGUUUGUUUUUAAUGAAAAAAAAAUCUUGGAAAUUGAUUCAAUUUCUUAUUUUAAGUGAGAACAGGUUUUGCUUAGCAAAUACAUAAACAGAAGUUCUUAUAAUUUAACAAAAAUGGUGACAUGAAAAUUUGGACACGGAGUAUGUAUUUAUCCUGUAAGGAAACCAAAAGAUUUCUCAAUGAGAUAAUUUGAAGGUGCACAUUAUUUUCCAUUUAUCCAUUCACCAGGUGAAGAUGUUUGGAAUCCCCACAGAAACUUUGAGAAUCACUGAGUUAGAAUCACAAUCCAGGAUUAUUCAGAGGUUUCAGAGACUUCCUCUGUAAGAGGAGUAGUAACGCAACAUUCCCCCUCAGACUAAAUUAUAUUUGAUUUUUAUUUUCAUGAGCAUUUUUCAAUAACAGCAAUUUUAAAACUUAUACUGAAAUUUCAUUUGAAUGAGCUGAGAGUUUGGUUUCUUUUAUUGAAGUAUA